GAACGUACGCUGGCGGCACGCCUAACACAUGCAAGUCGAACGAAGUAGCAAUACUUAGUGGCAGACGGGUGAGUAACAUGUAGGUAUCUGCCCUUUGGCCUGGAAUAACACGAGGAAACUUGUGCUAAUACCGGAUAAGUCUUUACGGAGAAAGCUUUAUGCACCAUUGGAUGAGCCUGCACUUGAUUAGUUUGUUGGUGGGGUAAUGGCCUACCAAGACUGUGAUCAAUAGCUGAUUUGAGAGGAUGAUCAGCCACAUUGGGACUGAGACACGGCCCAAACUCCUACGGGAGGCAGCAGUGGGGAAUCUUGCACAAUGGAGGAAACUCUGAUGCAGCGAUGCCGCGUGAGUGAAGAAGGCCUUUGGGUUGUAAAGCUCUUUCGUCGGGGAAGAAAAUGACUGUACCCGAAUAAGAAGGUCCGGCUAACUUCGUGCCAGCAGCCGCGGUAAUACGAAGGGACCUAGCGUAGUUCGGAAUUACUGGGCUUAAAGAGUUCGUAGGUGGUUGAAAAAGUUGGUGGUGAAAUCCCAGAGCUUAACUCUGGAACUGCCAUCAAAACUUUUCAGCUAGAGUAUGAUAGAGGAAAGCAGAAUUUCUAGUGUAGAGGUGAAAUUCGUAGAUAUUAGAAAGAAUACCAAUUGCGAAGGCAGCUUUCUGGAUCAUUACUGACACUGAGGAACGAAAGCAUGGGUAGCGAAGAGGAUUAGAUACCCUCGUAGUCCAUGCCGUAAACGAUGUGUGUUAGACGUUGGAAAUUUAUUUUCAGUGUCGCAGCGAAAGCGAUAAACACACCGCCUGGGGAGUACGACCGCAAGGUUAAAACUCAAAUGAAUUGACGGGGACCCGCACAAGUAGUGGAGCAUGUGGUUUAAUUCGAAGAUACGCGCAGAACCUUACCAACACUUGACAUGUUCGUCGCGACUCUAAGAGAUUAGAGUUUUCGGUUCGGCCGGACGAAACACAGGUGCUGCAUGGCUGUCGUCAGCUCGUGUCGUGAGAUGUUGGGUUAAGUCCCGCAACGAGCGCAACCCUCACUUUUAGUUGCCAUCAUUAAGUUGGGCACUCUGAAAGAACUGCCAGUGAUAAGCUGGAGGAAGGUGGGGAUGACGUCAAGUCCUCAUGGCCCUUACGUGUUGGGCUACACACGUGCUACAAUGGUAUCUACAACAGGAAGCAAAACUGCGAAGUUAAGCAAAUCCCUAAAAGAUACCUCAGUUCGGAUUGCACUCUGCAACUCGAGUGCAUGAAGCUGGAAUUACUAGUAAUCGUGGAUCAGCGUGCCACGGUGAAUGCGUUCCCGGGUCUUGUACACACCGCC
rnacentral:rRNA from 1 species